rnacentral:rRNA from 1 species
GAAUAUUGGACAAUGGGCGCAAGCCUGAUCCAGCCAUGCCGCGUGAGUGAUGAAGGCCCUAGGGUUGUAAAGCUCUUUCAGUGGUGAAGAUAAUGACGGUAACCACAGAAGAAGCCCCGGCUAACUUCGUGCCAGCAGCCGCGGUAAUACGAAGGGGGCUAGCGUUGUUCGGAAUUACUGGGCGUAAAGGGCGCGUAGGCGGCCUGUUAAGUCGGGUGUGAAAGCCCGGGGCUCAACCCCGGAACGGCAUCCGAGACUGGCGGGCUCGAGACCGGGAGAGGAGGGUGGAAUACCCAGUGUAGAGGUGAAAUUCGUAGAUAUUGGGUGGAACACCGGUGGCGAAAGCGGCUCUCUGGCCCGGUUCUGACGCUGAGGCGCGAAAGCGUGGGGAGCAAACAGG